CUACGGGAGGCUCCAGUGAGGAAUAUUGCACAAUGGGGGGAACCCUGAUGCAGCAACGCCGCGUGGAGGAUGACGCAUUUCGGUGUGUAAACUCCUUUUAUAUGUCAAGAAAAUGACGGUAGCAUAUGAAUAAGCACCGGCUAACUCCGUGCCAGCAGCCGCGGUAAUACGGAGGGUGCAAGCGUUACUUGGAAUCACUGGGCGUAAAGGACGCGUAGGCGGGUUGGAAAGUCAGGUGUGAAAUCCUACAGCUUAACUGUAGAACUGCACUUGAAACUUCUAAUCUAGAGUAUGGGAGGGGGAGAUGGAGUUAGUGGUGUAGGGGUAAAAUCCGUAGAUAUCACUAGGAAUACCUAAAGCGAAGGCGAUCUCCUGGAACAUUACUGACGCUAAGGCGUGAAAGCGUGGGGAGCAAACAGGAUUAGAUACCCUUGUAGUC
rnacentral:rRNA from 1 species